CUAUCAGUUAGGGAUAAUUCUGAUCUGUAAGGUUCAGUUUACGGGCCUACAGUUUAGAAAAGUGAUGAUAGCGGUUGAUGACCCAUGUGAGUUAAAUCCGCGGAAAUCAGGAGUAACGACCCUGAUUUCUAAUCUGAC